ensembl:lncRNA
GAGUUCCAGCCAUUUGGAGAGAGGAAAAGGAAGGCCCACUCUUCAGCCCCCUUUUCCAAAGUUCCAGAAAGCAGUUCUCAGAGAAAAGGCAACCAACUAGGAGUAGUCAGAGACAUGGUCUGGUACCAACUAGCCAGGCUAUCUUAGAGAAAUCGUGAACCUCAGUUUCUCUAUCUGUGAAGCAGAUGAGGUAUGGAAUUUGAUCAGGUGACACCAAGACGGGCAUUUCCACAGGGGAAUGGGUGGAUAUGAUAGGAACAAUGAUGGGGAUGCAAAUAAAGGACUAACAUCUAGGACUGAAUCUGGACACUUGUAGCUGAAUUGAGGAGCCUGAGCACAUUAAUGUUGAAAAUGGAAUCUGGUCACCUGCAGAAGCUCGAGACUGGUUCACUCUCAGUGGGCCCAAGGGUCAGGAAGAGUUUCUCUGAAGAGAGCACAGGAAUGAAAACAGAGGCUAAGAAGGCGUUCACGGGGCUUCGGGCUGGAGGAAGGAUGUGAGUUAGGGCUGCAUGUAUACUGACUGCAGCCCAAGGCUCAGCCCCGUCUCCUGGCAGCCCCGCCCCUGAAGGCCCUGCAGAGAGAUCCUGACCCACAGUGUCCCUGGCCUUCUAAGUACCGGUGUAUAGAACCCCGGCCCUAUCCCCAAGAUGCCCAGCUGCUCAGUUGGAUGUGUAAGCAGUGGUUCCUGAGAUUCUACGAGGGAUGGCUCCUUUCAUGUGUCAACCUAGCCAGACCAUGGUUUGUGGUCAAACACUGUUCUGGAUGUUUCUGUGAGGGUAUGGGGCUGAGAUUAACAGCUAAGUGGGCAGGCUUUGAGUAAAGGGUGGGCCUUGUCAAAUCAGUUGAAGGCUUGUACUAAAUAGACAAAAAAGUGACCUCCCCUGAGCAAGAGGGACUUUGCAGCUGGUGUCCUUCAGACUUGAACUUCAGCAUUAGCUCUUCCUUGGUCUCCAGCCUCUCAGCCCACCCCACAGAUCUGGGGCUUUCUAGCCUCUGUGACACAUGAACCAGUUCCUUGACAUUUAACUUUUCUCAUGGUUCUGUUGCUUGGGAAGACCCUGACUAAUACAACCUUCAGUGAUGUCCCCUGGUCCUGCAGCCUCUCUUGCCUGGACUGCCGAGGUCUCAAGGUCAGUAGUACCUCCCAUCGUCCCUGUGUUACCAGGUUCCCCAAGGAAUUCAGGUUGUUCUGCUGUAGCCUGCCCUCCCCAUUGCUGUCCCCAAACCUUAGCCACUCAGGCACCUUUACAACUGAUUUCUGUCAGACUUUUUUCUAGACAAAGUCAACAGGAAUGAAAUAGAAAUGAGAGAGAACUCAAUUUCUUCACUUCAUUCCUUGGAGUCACUCGAUACUAAACUUACAACUUAGAAAAUAUUCCCUCCCACAUUCAGAGGAACAUCGAGUUAUGGAGUGUAAUCUAGUCUUUCUUAUAUGGCCUCAACAAAUAUUUAUUAACUGUUGCCGAUGCUCCAGGCACCAAGUGAUUCCUCCCAGCCACAAGCACAGUUAAUCCUCUCCAGCAAAAUGACACCUUCACCCUGCACCACUCUUGGGGGCUUUCCUUUCCUUUCUGGAAAACUCAUUCCAAAGCCUCAAAAUCCAGCUGCCUUCUUUGUAAAACGGUUCCUUGAGCCCUGCUGCAGCUCCCAGAACUCCAUUCUCUCACUGUGUUUACAUUUGUCACUGUCACUCUCAAAGUAUGUGUUCUGCACACUGGCAGGAGCUCCGGGAUGGGGGCAUGUCCCGUUCACCAUUAGGAACUUUUUUGGGGGCGGUGGCUUUUGGUAAACAGCACCUAUUUUGCCUUGUUUCUGCACACACUGAAAUAUAAAACAACAAAGAAGAAAUGGGGUCUCACUGUCAAGUUUUUUCUUCAGAUGAAGGCUAAAUUAAAGAACUUGGCUUUUGCCUGAGACCCAAUGGUCCCCCUAAGUGAACUCAAAGUAGUCAGUCUCACCUGCCACACAAAG